rnacentral:rRNA from 1 species
CCGGAUUAGCUGGGAGUGGUGCAUGGCCGUCGUCAGUUCGUACUGUGAAGCAUCCUGUUAAGUCAGGCAACGAGCGAGACCCACGCCCACAGUUGCCAGCGUACUCUCUGGAGUGACGGGUACACUGUGGGGACCGCCGCUGCUAAAGCGGAGGAAGGAAUGGGCAACGGUAGGUCAGUAUGCCCCGAAUGUCCCGGGCUACACGCGAGCUACAAUGGUUGGUACAAUGGGUAUCUACCCCGAAAGGGGACGGGAAUCUCCUAAAACCAAUCUUAGUUCGGAUUGAGGGCUGCAACUCGCCCUCAUGAAGCUGGAAUCCGUAGUAAUCGCGUUUCAACAGAACGCGGUGAAUACGUCCCUGCUCCUU